GGGGAUAUAGCUCAGUGGUACAGCACCUGUCUGGUAAACACAAGGUUCUGAGUUUAAUUCCCAAUACCCACC
rnacentral:tRNA from 1 species